rnacentral:misc_RNA from 1 species
GGCAAAUAUGUGACACUACCUACUUUACAAAGUCUCUUGAAGUGCCCAUAUGAAAUAACUACUUUUAUACGUACCUUACUUAAAAUUAUUACUGAUUUUAUUAGCCAUUGAAGCUUUAGCUAGUUCUCUUUAAUAUUCAAAACAUUUGCAUCGUCUUAACUUCAUGAUACUACAAGCUUCCAAUUUACUUCACAUCACUAAUGAGGUCCUUGUACUAACUUCUUCCUACCUCAUAAGUCAUCAGCUAUGUAGACUUCCGUCCGAGUGUUAAACAUUUCUUACUCCAUCUAUCGGCAUCAACAAUUGAACCAGUCUCUCCUUUGACAUGACAAAAGUCUAUGUAUUCUUAAGCUAUCCAAUCGACAUGACUUAUUAUAUCCUCGUCCUUUCUUGAAAAGAGAGAUCCUUGACUUUCGUUUGAACUUCUUACUAUCUGACAUGCGUCCUAAUACAUUGGUGCUUAGAUCGAGGUUCUACUACUCCCUUAACCUACCAUUUUACCAUAACUUGCCCUCGAUAUUCCUUAGUGUCCCUCUCAUACCAUUCCUCUUUGUCUUUCCCUG